GACGUAGGUUCCGAGCGUUAUCCGGAUUUACUGGGCGUAAAGCGCGUUCAGGCGGUUUGGCAAGUCGGGCAUGAAAUCUCUCGGCUCAACCGGGAGAGGUUGUCCGAUACUGUCAGACUGGAGGGCAGUAGAGGGUGGUGGAAUUCCGGGUGUAGUGGUGAAAUGCGUAGAGAUCCGGAGGAACACCAGUGGCGAAAGCGGCCACCUGGACUGCACCUGACGCUGAAACGCGAAAGCUAGGGGAGCGAACGGG
rnacentral:rRNA from 1 species